rnacentral:lncRNA from 1 species
AAAAAACACAAAAAACAGAGCCUUUAUAAGUUAGAAGAAGUACGCCAAAAAUUGAAAAUGAACGUACCCGCCAAACGGAUGUCUGGAAAAGGAUGCAUUUUGGAGUUCUUUUUAUGAGUAGACAUGUGGCGAAAGAAGCAUGUGCGAAGGAAUAGCUAGCCAGACGUACGUAUCGGCAUACGUCAGCGAUGCCACAACUACAAGGAUCAGACGACAGAGCACCUCGAUGGAUUAUCCCGCGGCGGCAUGCACCGGCAUGCUGCAUGCUUCCACCACGUCAGCUGCUGACGCUGCACAUGCUCCAUGCAUGCGUCCACGUAAAACCGUAUCUAGGCAUCACACGUACACAUGCUAUAUAUGUAUGCUACUCCGGUAGCUAGCUUGCAUGUGCAUGCAUACACAUGCAUGCCCCUCCGAAGAGUUGGAAGAGUACUCUAUCACAAAGAGUUGGAAAGUAACAUAUCACUUGGCUACGGGAUUUAUUUCCGACAAAUUUGACCAGUUUGUAGGACUAGUUGCAUGUACUCCGUAUCAUGUAUGGUCUCGUUCCGUCGUUAUUAUCAUCACUUUUGCCUCUUGAGUCAGAGAUUGCCUCUAACCUUAUGUAUUUGUAGGGAUGUACCACUCUACACUGGAUAUCGUUUUGAAAUUUUGUAAGUUCAAGCUGUAGAACCUCCGUGCCAAGUACGAUUGAGAUGAGCUACACUGCUAGAGGACCAGAAAAAUGAAGCGUCAAUUUCAAAGAUACAUCUCAUAACAUGGCGUUCUUAGGGGCACAUUUAGCAAUAGUGCCGAAGCUAACACGUGGAUUAAUUUAGUCGCAAAGAAAAGACAAAUUCAUCAAAAAGUACUGGCUAAAGGCCUAUGGGGGCUACUCCUAAUUAAGGACACCGCAGCCUAAAAUAAAAAAUAAAAAAUUUAACGACGCCGCAUGCAUAUCUGUGGCCUGGAAUACACUUACCACGAAAAUCCAUGUGAUGACCAUGUGAAAGACAAACAUAACAAUGGGAAAUACGAAUGGCUGAAAUUCAUGAUCGAUCAAGCUGG